rnacentral:lncRNA from 1 species
CUCCCAACACCUUUCCAAAGAAGAAUUUAAAGAAAAGAAGGGAAAUCAAAGAGAAAUUUCAAGGGUGAGGGGGAGUGAAUAGUAACUAAGGGUUUGGAAUUUAAAGGUAUGUUAGGGAUUUUUGUUGUAGGGAUAUUUCUUAUCAUUUUAUGUGAAUAUUUAUGAGAAAUAUUGUAUUAAUUUGAUUUAUUGGUUUAUUUUUUUUCAUGAAGAAGCGGAAGGGAAAGGAAAAGAAAAGGAAAAUUAGGGAAGUUUAAGUUUGUGGAAGAUCUUGGGAAGGUUUGUGUUCAACUCUAUUUCAAUAAAUGCAAGAAAUUGUUAUUUAUAUUCUAUUUGAAAUUUUACUACCCUAAUAGAAAGACCAAGUAAAUAAUAAUUUAAUUAUUUUAGUAUAAUCAAAGUUUGAGAAAUAAUAGAUUUAAUAGAUAGAAAAUUUUAAAACUUAUAUGUAAUUUAACCAAAAUUUAAAUUAUGGAUAUAAUGAAAUGACUCUAUUUUCUUUGAGAGAAAAAUAAUUUGGUUAGAUAUAGUGACAAUAAAAAAAUUUAGUAGACUAAAGAAAAAAAAAAGAAGAAGAGAUAUUAGAUUAGAUGAAAAGAAAAAAAGAAAUUAAAAGAAUAAGAAAAAUGAGGCAUAGUGUAAAUAUGAUGUUGAAGAAUAAUAAGAAUAAUAUAAGAUAAAAAGAGGAAUUAAAAAAAAAAACUUUCAUGUUUCUAUGCUUAGAAGAUACAGGUCAGAUCCCUCUCAUAUCCUCCCAGCAGAAUCUGUGGAUGUACAAUCAAACUUGUCAUAUAAAGAAGAACCUGUGAAAAUUCUAGCAAGAGAAAUAAAAGAGUUGAAAAACAAAAGAAUUCCUCUUGUUAAAGUCCUGUGGAGGAAUCACAAAGUAGAAGAAGUAACUUGGGAGAGCGAAGAUAUCAUGAAAGCACAAUAUCCUCAUCUCUUUAAUACAGGCAAAAUUUCGAGGACGAAAUUUUUAUAAGAGGGGUAGAAUUGUAACAUCCUUAAAAAAAUAAAAUAAAUAAAUAAUAAGAAAAAAAAGAAAGAAAAAGAAUUAAAAAGAAAAGAAAAGAAAAAAAAAAGAAGAUAAUAAAUUAAAUUUUAAUGUAAAAGAUAAGUGGCUCAUUUGUAGCCACAAACCAAAUAAAUUUUGUACCAAAAAAAAAAAAGAAAAGAAAAGAAGAAAGAAGAAAAGACUAGAAGAGAAGAGAGAAACUCAUUUUGUUUCCUCCAUUUCCUUCUGCUUCCUCUGCCGUGAAACCCUCUUUUCUCCAUUUGUUUUUCCUACAUCAAAUUUCUUCAAAUCUCCACCUCCAAUCAAUUCCUCAUCUUCUCCCAACACCUUUCCAAAGAAGAAUUUGAAGAAAAGAAGGGAAAUUAAAGAGAAAUUUCAAGGGUGAGGGGGAGUGAAUAAAAACCAAGGGUUUGGAAUUUAAAGAUAUGUUAGGGGUUUUUGUUUUAGGGAUAUUUCUUAUCAUUUUAUGUGAAUAUUUAUGAGAAAUAUUGUAUUAAUUUGAUUUAUUGGUUUAUUUUUUUUCAUGAAGAAGCGGAAGGGAAAGGAAAAGAAAAGGAAAAUUAGGGAAGUUUAAGUUUGUGAAAGAUCUUGGAAAGGUUUGUGCUCAACUCUAUUUCAAUAAAUGCAAGAAAUUGUUAUUUAUAUUCUAUUUGAAAUUUUACUACCCUACUUGAAAGACCAAGUAAAUAAUAAUUUAAUUAUAUUAGUAUAAUAAAAGUUUGAGAACCUUGCUUAAUUUUAGGGAUUGUAUAAUCAUAAGCUUGAUUUUCCUUCCUGUUUAGUUACCGUCUCUCAUGUAUAAAUAGGUUGUAAUCUCUAUUGUGAUAUACAACAAAUAUUAUCUUUCUAUAUGGUAUCAGAGUCUUUCUCGUAGAGAUUUUUUUUCUCUUUUCUCUCUCGUAAAGUUUUAAAAUUUUUUUGGAGACUUAGGGUUCCGUUCAUUUGGGUUAUCCAUAAAGGGUAACAUUUGGAUCUCACUAUCGCUGGAGUCGCCACACCGACCCCUUGUCAAAUUUGAGGUUUGUUUGCCGUUCGGGUGUUGGGUGGAGGUGUUUUAUUUGGUACUGUUCAUCGGCACUGUUCAUCGGGUAUUGUUCACGUGGUACUGUUCAUCGGUACUGUUCACGCCGGGUACUGUUUUCUGAUUCUGUGUUUCUUUUGUUGCUAUCGUUUUGGGUUGGUUGUCCUUAUGGCUGAAAUUAAAACCACCACCGUAACUGAUGUGAUUCCUAUGAUGACUAAAAUCACGGAACACAAAUUGAAUGGAUCUUCCGAUCAGAGAAUUUUGAUAUCUGCAGAUGAGUAUGCACAAUUCAUGCCAUAUACAGAUCUUGCAGUACUGCACUACAGUUACACUGAUUUUUAGGAUACAAUGAGGUAUCCUAUAGUUAUAGAAUCGGCUUUUGAGCCCUACAGUUAUUUGGUACUGUGUACCCUACAGUUACAGUUUCAUCAUCUAACUUAACAGUCCCAUUUAAAUUUAUAGGGGCCAACAGAAAAAUAAUAAAUAAAUAAAAGUAUUAAGAGAAAUUAAAACUUUUUACAUGAUGAAGAAAAAGAAAAGGAUUAUGAAAUUAAAAUAUGUAUAUAUAUGUGAAUUAAUAAUAUGAUUUAGAUUAUUUCAAAUUAUUUGUUAUAAAGUUAUUUGUUAUUUGUUUGAAUUAUUGUUAUUACAUGAAUUUUGAUUUAAAUGUUUUAUUUAUAAAGAAAAGUUGAGCACCACUAAGCAUUUUGCUUAGCGCGUAGGAAUUUAUGUUUUCUCGCGCAGGUUGUAGAUCCAAGGAGCAGUAGAGCAAGAUCUGCAUCAACCCGUCAGAGUUACAUCAUUAGCUAUCUUGGGGUAUAUUUUGUAAAUCUGAAUUGAAUUUGAGUUCAGAAAUAUGUCAUGUACAUAAAGAUUUAGAGAUAAAGGUAUAUAUGGUUUGAAUUAGAUGUAUUUAAAUAUUUUAAUGUUGAUGUAAAUAUUGGUUAUUAGUAUACGUUUUUGGGUUGAGAUUAAUGAGAUG